rnacentral:rRNA from 1 species
GACGAACGCUGGCGGCGUGCCUAACACAUGCAAGUCAGGGAGAAAGAGGUAGCAAUAUCUCGAGUAAACCGGCGAACGGGUGAGUAACACGUAGGUAACCUGCCCUCGAGUUGGGAAUAACUUCGAGAAAUCGAGGCUAAUACCGGAUAAUGCAACGAACUCGCAUGGGUUUGUUGUUAAAGUUCCGCGCAAGCGGAACGCUUGAGGAUGGACCUGCGGCCGAUUAGCUAGUUGGCGGAGAACAGCCACCAAGGCGACGAUCGGUAGCCGACCUGAGAGGGUGACCGGCCACACUGGGACUGAGAUACGGCCCAGACUCCUACGGGAGGGCAGCAGUGAGGAAUAUUGGUCAAUGGCCGAAAGUCUGACGCAGCCACGCCGCGUGAGUGAAGAAGGCCUCGGUGUAAGGUA